rnacentral:rRNA from 1 species
CCUACGGGAGGCAGCAGUAAGGAAUAUUGGUCAAUGGGCGCAAGCCUGAACCAGCCAUGCCGCGUGCAGGAAGACGGCCCUAUGGGUUGUAAACUGCUUUUGAACAAGAGAAAACCUCGGUACGUGUACCGAGCUGAUAGUAUUGUUAGAAUAAGCAUCGGCUAACUUCGUGCCAGCAGCCGCGGUAAGACGAAGGAUGCAAGCGUUAUCCGGAUUCAUUGGGUUUAAAGGGUGCGUAGGCGGCCUGAUAAGUCAGUGGUGAAAUCUCUCAGCUUAACUGAGAAACUGCCAUUGAUACUGUCGGGCUUGAGUACAGAUGAUGUGGGCGGAAUAUGACAUGUAGUGGUGAAAUACUUAGAUAUGUCAUAGAACACCGAUUGCGAAGGCAGCUCACAAAACUGUAACUGACGCUGAGGCACGAAAGUGCGGGGAUCAAACAGGAUUAGAUACCCUGGUAGUCCGCACCGUAAACCGAUGAUUACUCGUUGUUGGCAAUAUGACCGUCAGCGACCAAGCGAAAGCGAUAAGUAAUCCACCCUGGGGAGUACGCCGGCAACGGUUGAAACUCAAAGGAAUUGACGGCGNGAGAGNGCGACGGACGACACGAGGGAGGAGG